GCAUAUCAACCCUGAGGCGUGAUGACGAUGCACUACGGUGCAGAAGUAGUUGAUGCCCUGCUUCCAGGAAAAGCCUCUAAGCUCUAGGUAACAUUAAAUCGUACCCCAAACCGACACAGGUGGUCAGGUAGAGAAUACCAAGGCGCUUGAGAGAACUCGGGUGAAGGAACUAGGCAAAAUGGUGCCGUAACUUCGGGAGAAGGCACGCUGGCAUGUAGGUGAAGUCCUUCGCGGAUGGAGCUGAAGCCAGUCGAAGAUACCAGCU
rnacentral:rRNA from 1 species